rnacentral:rRNA from 1 species
AGUGAACGCUGGCGAUAGGCCUAACGCAUGCAAGUCGAACGGCAGCACAGUAAGAGCUUGCUCUUACGGGUGGCGAGUGGCGGACGGGUGAGGAAUACAUCGGAAUCUACUUUUUCGUGGGGGAUAACGUAGGGAAACUUACGCUAAUACCGCAUACGACCUACGGGUGAAAGCAGGGGAUCUUCGGACCUUGCGCGAUUGAAUGAGCCGAUGUCGGAUUAGCUAGUUGGCGGGGUAAAGGCCCACCAAGGCGACGAUCCGUAGCUGGUCUGAGAGGAUGAUCAGCCACACUGGAACUGAGACACGGUCCAGACUCCUACGGGAGGCAGCAGUGGGGAAUAUUGGACAAUGGGCGCAAGCCUGAUCCAGCCAUACCGCGUGGGUGAAGAAGGCCUUCGGGUUGUAAAGCCCUUUUGUUGGGAAAGAAAAGCAGCAGGUUAAUACCCCGCUGUUCUGACGGUACCCAAAGAAUAAGCACCGGCUAACUUCGUG